ensembl:lncRNA
GUAGAAGUCAGUCCCGGUCCGGGUCGGCUGUAGAAGUCAGUCCCGGUCCGGGUCGGGUUGUAGAAGUCAAAGUCAGUCCCUGUCCUGGUCAGGUUGGGAGGGGUGUCAGUGCUGUUACUCUGAAGGUAUUGCACUUGUCCCGGCCUGUUUAGGAUUGAGGAGAUGGUGCUGCUACUCUUUGAACCUGCUAAAGCAGUAAUUGUUUAAAAUGAAUGAAUGAAACAUAUAUUUACCAAAAAUGAGACUUGUAUGUUUUCUGUCAUGAUUCUGUUUUUCUAGAUUUGUUUUUAAUGAAUGAAGAGGUAGUUUUCUAAGUUGUAGAUUGAUUGUCGGAGCUUAAAUGUGUCCAUAUGGGGAGUAAUUGUUUCAUGCUGUGGUUUUGUCUCAAAUAAAGUUUCCAUGUAAAUUAGCUUCCCGUUUCAAAGUUUCCAUUGGGCUUUGAUUUGAAAUGUGUAGCCAGCCUGCUUCUCCAGAUGUGAUUGGGUGUAAGGAUGCUUCUCCAGAUGUGAUUGGAUGUAGGGGUGGUGGGAUGUUCAGAUAUAUUAUCUCCACCCUGCUUCUCGAGAUGUGAUUGGAUGUAAGGAUGCUUCUCGAGAUGUGAUUGGAUGUAAGGAUGCUUCUCGAGAUGUGAUUGGGUGUAAGGAUGCUUCUCGAGAUGUGAUUGGGUGUAAGGAUGCUUCUCGAGAUGUGAUUGGGUGUAAGGAUGCUUCUCGAGAUGUGAUUGGGUGUAAGGAUGCUUCUCGAGAUGUGAUUGGAUGUAAGGCUGCUUCUCGAGAUGUGAUUGGAUGUAAGGCUGCUUCUCGAGAUGUGAUUGGAUGUAAGGAUGCUUCUCGAGAUGUGAUUGGAUGUAAGGAUGCUUCUCCAGAUGUGAUUGGGUGUAAGGAUGCUUCUCCAGAUGUGAUUGGAUGUAAGGAUGCUUCUCGAGAUGUGAUUGGAUGUAAGGAUGCUUCUCGAGAUGUGAUUGGAUGUAAGGAUGCUUCUCGAGAUGUGAUUGGAUGUUCAGAUAUAUUUUAUCUCCAAUCUCCAAAUGCCUUUAAUCUUCGAAUGGGAGAUACUGUGACGGACAGUGUCACACAUCAUAACAUGAGUCAUGUGGUCUUUGGGAAAAGGACCUUUCUGACAACUGGAGCACAGGAGGGUUUUGAAAUCAGAUUUCAAGGCCGACAAAAGAGGUGGCAGGUAACCUAGUGGUUAGAGGAGGCAGGUAGCCUAGUGGUUAGAGUGUAGAGGAGGCAGGUAGCCUAGUGGUUAGAGUGUAGAGGAG